UUUUUCCUGGAUUUCCCCUGGAUUUUUCCCAAAUUUUCCCAGAUUUUCCCAAAUUUUCCCAGAUUUUUCCCAGGUUUUUCCAGAUUUCCCUGGAUUUUCCUGCAUUUCCCUGGAUAUUCCUAAAUUUUCCUGGAUUUUCCCAGAUUUUCCCAAAUUUUCCCAGAUUUUUCCCAGGUUUUUCCAGAUUUCCCUGGAUUUUCCUGCAUUUCCCUGGAUAUUCCUAAAUUUUCCUGGAUUUUUUCCCGUUUUUUUCCAGGAUUUUCCCCGUAUUUUCCAAGAUUUUCAUGGAUUUUCCCAGAUUUUCAUGGAUUUUCCCCAAAAUUCCCAGAUUUUCCUGGAUGUUUCCUGCAUUUCCCAGAUUUUUCCAGAUUUCCUUGGAUAUUCCCAAAUUUUCCUCGAUUUUUCCCAAAUUUUCCUGGAUUUUUCCCAGAUUUUCCAAAAUUUUCCUGGAUUUUUCCUGGAUUUUCCCCCAAAUUCCCAGAUUUUCCUGGAUGUUUCCCAAAUUUUUCCCGGAUUUUCCUGGAUUUUUCCCAGAUUUUCCUGGAUUUUUCCCAGAUUUUCCCAGCUCUCAGGCCCAUUCCCAAAUCGCGGGAAUCUCCGAACAUCCAAAAAUCCGGGAAGUGACUCCGGGACUUUGGGAAGGGGAGGUUGGAUCCCAAAUUCCCUGGGAAUGGGAAAAGGAAUUCCCAGGAAUUCCCAGGAAAUUCCCAAAGGAACCGGGAUGAGGAAAAUUUUCCCAACAUUCCAAGAAAAAAAAAAUGGGAUGAGGAGGAAGCUGAGGUUCGGGAUUGUUGUCGGGAUUAUUCCCAAGAUUAUUCCAAACAUUCUUCACAGGAUUUUUCCAGGAUUGUUCCCAAAAUUCCUGGGAUUAUUCUCAGAAUUCCCAGGAUUUUUCCAGGGAUUUUCCCAGGAUUAUUCAAAAAAUUCCCAGGAUUAUUUCCAGAAUUCCCAGGAUUUUUUCCCAGAAUUUUUCCCAAAAUUCCCAGGAUUAUUCCCUGGAUUUUCCCCAGGAAUAAAA
rnacentral:lncRNA from 1 species